AGAGUUUGAUCCUGGCUCAGAACGAACGUUGGCGGCGUGGAUUAGGCAUGCAAGUCGAGCGAGAACCCCGGCUUCGGCUGGGGGGACAGCGGCAAAAGGGUGAGUAAUACAUAGCUAACGUACCCCUCGGACUGGGAUAGCCGUGGGAAACUGCGGGUAAUACCGGAUAAUGUCUUCGGGUGGCAUCUCCUGAAGACCAAAUGGUGCUUCCGCCGAGGGAGCGGGCUAUGUCCUAUUAGCUAGUUGGUGAGGUAACGGCUCACCAAGGCGUUGAUGGGUAGCGGGCGUGAGAGCGUGACCCGCCACACUGGGACUGAGACACUGCCCAGACUCCUACGGGAGGCUGCAGUCGAGAAUCAUUGUCAAUGGGCGCAAGCCUGAACAUGCGACGUCGCGUGGAGGAUGAAGGCCCUCGGGUUGUAAACUCCUGUCAGGGGGGAUGAAUGGCCAGUGAUUCGAUUUCUGGUCACACUUGACAAAACCCCAAAGGAAGCACCGGCUAACUCCGUGCCAGCAGCCGCGGUAAUACGGAGGGUGCAAACGUUGUUCGGAAUUACUGGGCUUAAAGCGCACGUAGGCGGCUUGGUCAGUCAGGUGUGAAAUCCCUCGGCUCAACCGAGGAACGGUGCCUGAUACUGCCAGGCUCGAGUAAGGUAGGGGGGCGUGGAACUCCGGGUGGAGCGGUGAAAUGCGUAGAUAUCCGGAGGAACGCCGGUGGUGAAAACGGCGCCCUGGGCCUUUACUGACGCUGAGGUGCGAAAGCUAGGGGAGCGAACGGGAUUAGAUACCCCGGUAGUCCUAGCCGUAAACGAUGGGUACUAGGUAGUGGAGGUUCCGAUGCCGCCUCUGCCGAAGCAAAAGUGGUAAGUACCCCGCCUGGGGAGUAUGGUCGCAAGGCUAAAACUCAAAGGAAUUGACGGGGGCUCACACAAGCGGUGGAGCACGUGGCUUAAUUCGAGGCAACGCGAAGAACCUUAUCCUGGAUUUGACAUGCAUGGAUUAGCCACCUGAAAGGGUGGUGACGCUCUUUGAGUGGAACAUGCACAGGUGCUGCAUGGCUGUCGUCAGCUCGUGUCGUGAGAUGUUGGGUUAAGUCCCGUAACGAGCGAAACCCUUGCCCUUAGUUGCCAGCGGGUCAUGCCGGGGACUCUAAGGGGACUGCCGGUGUUAAACCGGAGGAAGGUGGGGAUGACGUCAAGUCCUCAUGGCCUUUAUGUCCAGGGCUGCACACGUGCUACAAUGGCAGGUACAGAGGGUCGCGAAGCCGCGAGGCUAAGCUAAUCCCAAAAAACCUGUCUCAGUUCGGAUUGCAGUCUGCAACUCGACUGCAUGAAGUCGGAAUCGCUAGUAAUCGCGGAUCAGCAAUGCCGCGGUGAAUGUGUUCCUGAGCCUUGUACACACCGCCCGUCAAGCCACGAAAGCGGGGGGCAUCCGAAGUCGCUGAGCUAACCCUUCGGGGAGGCAGGCGCCGAAGAUGAACCUCGCGAUUGGGACUAAGUCGUAACAAGGUAACCGUAGGGGAACCUGCGGCUGGAUCACCUCCUU
rnacentral:rRNA from 1 species